rnacentral:rRNA from 1 species
AUGCAUAGGGAUCUACCUAGUAGUAUGGGAUAGCCACUAGAAAUGGUGGGUAAUACUGUAUAAUCCCCGCGGGGGAAAGAUUUAUCGCUAUUAGAUGAGCCUAUGUUAGAUUAGCUAGUUGGUGGGGUAAAGGCCUACCAAGGCGAUGAUCUAUAGCUGGUCUGAGAGGAUGAUCAGCCACACUGGAACUGAGAUACGGUCCAGACUCCUACGGGAGGCAGCAGUGGGGAAUAUUGGACAAUGGGCGCAAGCCUGAUCCAGCUAUGCCGCGUGAGUGAGGAAGGCCCUAGGGUUGUAAAACUCUUUC